rnacentral:tRNA from 2 species
ACUCUUUUAGUAUAACCAGUACAGUUGACUUCCAAUCAUCUAGUUUCAGCUCCACCUGAAAAAGAGUA